GGACUUGGCGGCGUGCCUAUACAUGCAAGUCGAGCGAACAGAUAAGGAGCUUGCUCCUUUGACGUUAGCGGCGGACGGGUGAGUAACACGUGGAUAACCUACCUAUAAGACUGGGAUAACUUCGGGAAACCGGAGCUAAUACCGGAUAACAUAUUGAACCGCAUGGUUCAAUAGUGAAAGGCGGCUUUGCUGUCACUUAUAGAUGGAUCCGCGCCGUAUUAGCUAGUUGGUAAGGUAACGGCUUACCAAGGCAACGAUACGUAGCCGACCUGAGAGGGUGAUCGGCCACACUGGAACUGAGACACGGUCCAGACUCCUACGGGAGGCAGCAGUAGGGAAUCUUCCGCAAUGGGCGAAAGCCUGACGGAGCAACGCCGCGUGAGUGAUGAAGGUCUUCGGAUCGUAAAACUCUGUUAUCAGGGAAGAACAAAUGUGUAAGUAACUGUGCACAUCUUGACGGUACCUGAUCAGAAAGCCACGGCUAACUACGUGCCAGCAGCCGCGGUAAUACGUAGGUGGCAAGCGUUAUCCGGAAUUAUUGGGCGUAAAGCGCGCGUAGGCGGUUUUUUAAGUCUGAUGUGAAAGCCCACGGCUCAACCGUGGAGGGUCAUUGGAAACUGGAAAACUUGAGUGCAGAAGAGGAAAGUGGAAUUCCAUGUGUAGCGGUGAAAUGCGCAGAGAUAUGGAGGAACACCAGUGGCGAAGGCGACUUUCUGGUCUGUAACUGACGCUGAUGUGCGAAAGCGUGGGGAUCAAACAGGAUUAGAUACCCUGGUAGUCCACGCCGUAAACGAUGAGUGCUAAGUGUUAGGGGGUUUCCGCCCCUUAGUGCUGCAGCUAACGCAUUAAGCACUCCGCCUGGGGAGUACGACCGCAAGGUUGAAACUCAAAGGAAUUGACGGGGACCCGCACAAGCGGUGGAGCAUGUGGUUUAAUUCGAAGCAACGCGAAGAACCUUACCAAAUCUUGACAUCCUUUGACCGCUCUAGAGAUAGAGUCUUCCCCUUCGGGGACAAAGUGACAGGUGGUGCAUGGUGUCGUCAGCUCGUGUCGUGAGAUGUUGGGUUAAGUCCCGCAACGAGCGCAACCCUUAAGCUUAGU
rnacentral:rRNA from 1 species